UGCAGAGCCUCAUUUGGAUGUGUCUGGAGUCUUGGAAGCUUGACUACCCUACGUUCUCCUACAAAUGGACCUUGAGAGCUUGUUUGGAGGUUCUAGCAGGGGAGCGCAGCUACUCGUAUACCCUUGACCGAAGAAGAACGGUCCUCCUCUAUCGGGGAAGGUCGUCCUCUUCGACAGAGCGCGCAGCUUCGGGAGGGACGCACAUGGAGCGGUGAGGGAGGAAGGGGACACCCGCCCAGCCAGCCAGAUCAGCCGAAUCAACCCUGGCGAUCAAUGGGGUGACAGAUCGGAAGCCCACACGUCUGAACCCCAG